UUUCCGUAGGUGAACCUGCGGAAGGAUCAUUACCAAAUCUUUGUGUCCUGACCGAAAGGUCUUGACGCUUUAACCCUUUGUGAACUAAAAACCUUACGCUUCGGUAGCAAGCUAGGCUGGGUUUUGUGCCCGACCUUAGCUGUCAGCCUGCCGUUAGCACCCAACCAAAAAACUUGCAUACAAACUUUUGUCUGAAUAAACACAUUUUCGAAUGAAAAUCAAAACUUUCAACAACGGAUCUCUUGGUUCUC
rnacentral:misc_RNA from 1 species